rnacentral:lncRNA from 1 species
GUGAUAACGUCGCAUGUAAAAGCGCGUGUGAAGCAUUUAACCAACCGCAAUAUUGUUGUAGUGGCGAGUUCGGGAGUCCAGAUACUUGCAAACCUUCCGCGUACUCGCAGGUCUUCAAAAGCGCUUGCCCACGAGCAUACAGCUACGCCUACGAUGACAAAACAAGCACGUUUACAUGUGCCGACGCUGAUUAUAUUAUUACUUUCUGCCCUUCACCCAACACUAGGUAUAUUUACAUAAUUCUCCCCUUUGACUUUCAUUUCGAAUAGAGGGUAUUUUCGUACAUUACAUUCCCUGACAAAUUCCAUGAAAUCUGAACGUUGAUGAACAUAAGGAAUCCCUUACAAUUAAUGCUCAUGCCACGUAGGAUUUAGAGGGGUUAGUUUGGUCAUUUUCCAAUCCUUCAUCGACCGACUCUUUAGCCCACACUUAUCCCGGUGCAUCGUGGGGCGGCGACACCGUUAAGGUCGGCGAUUGGAGUUUUAAUUAAUCGUCUCGGGGGAAUAGAGAAUUUUCACGUGGUUUUUCCAUUUUUUUAAGUUCAACGGCAUUAAAUCGCGUACAACGAGGAGUUGUAAUUCGGCACGAUUUUCUAGCGUUAGAUGAUUACGCAACGGUCAAAAACACUGCAUGAAGGUCCACUGAAAACAUGACACGUUGUCACUUAAUUAUGUGUCAGUUGAACUGAAUGUCUUUUGUUUCUUUUUCUGUGGGUGCAGUCAGAAAUCAACGGACAAUCACAACACAAACACACCGGCGAUCAACGGCGGCAACGGUACAAUGGUAUACGAAGGGGCUGCGUAUGAUUUUAGCGGCGCGUCGAGAACCACGCUCCGUCGUAUUCUAGGGGUAGUCGUUGCGACGGUGGGAAUUCUUCAAAUUCGGCAACUCUUUUGAAGGACG